rnacentral:rRNA from 1 species
GCGUGGAUGAAGAAGGCCCUAGGGUUGUAAAGUCCUUUCACCGCUGAAGAUAAUGACGGUAAGCGGAGAAGAAGCCCCGGCUAAUUUCGUGCCAGCAGCCGCGGUAAUACGAAAGGGGCUAGCGUUGUUCGGAAUUACUGGGCGUAAAGCGCACGUAGGCGGCCUUGUAAGAUGGGGGUGAAAUCCCCGGGCUCAACCCGGGAAUUGCCUUCAUGACUGCAAAGCUCGAGGAUGUGAGAGGAUAGUGGAAUUCCGAGUGUAGAGGUGAAAUUCGU